GACGAACGCUGGCGGCGUGCUUAACACAUGCAAGUCGAACGGAAAGGCCCUGCUUUUGUGGGGUGCUCGAGUGGCGAACGGGUGAGUAACACGUGAGUAACCUGCCCUUGACUUUGGGAUAACUUCAGGAAACUGGGGCUAAUACCGGAUAGGAGCUCCUGCUGCAUGGUGGGGGUUGGAAAGUUUCGGCGGUUGAGGAUGGACUCGCAGCCUAUCAGCUUGUUGGUGGGGUAGUGGCUUACCAAGGCUUUGACGGGUAGCCGGCCUGAGAGGGUGACCGGCCACAUUGGGACUGAGAUACGGCCCAGACUCCUACGGGAGGCAGCAGUGGGGAAUAUUGCACAAUGGGCGGAAGCCUGAUGCAGCAACGCCGCGUGCGGGAUGACGGCCUUCGGGUUGUAAACCGCUUUCGCCUGUGACGAAGCGUGAGUGACGGUAAUGGGUAAAGAAGCACCGGCUAACUACGUGCCAGCAGCCGCGGUGAUACGUAGGGUGCGAGCGUUGUCCGGAUUUAUUGGGCGUAAAGGGCUCGUAGGUGGUUGAUCGCGUCGGAAGUGUAAUCUUGGGGCUUAACCCUGAGCGUGCUUUCGAUACGGGUUGACUUGAGGAAGGUAGAGGAGAAUGGAAUUCCUGGUGGAGCGGUGGAAUGCGCAGAUAUCAGGAGGAACACCAGUGGCGAAGGCGGUUCUCUGGGCCUUUCCUGACGCUGAGGAGCGAAAGCGUGGGGAGCGAACAGGCUUAGAUACCCUGGUAGUCCACGCUGUAAACGGUGGGUACUAGGUGUGGGGUCCAUUCCACGGGUUCCGUGCCGUAGCUAACGCUUUAAGUACCCCGCCUGGGGGGUACGGCCGCAAGGCUAAAACUCAAAGGAAUUGACGGGGCCCCGCACAAGCGGCGGAGCAUGCGGAUUAAUUCGAUGCAACGCGUAGAACCUUACCUGGGUUUGACAUGGAUCGGGAGUGCUCAGAGAUGGGUGUGCCUCUUUUGGGGUCGGUUCACAGGUGGUGCAUGCCUGUCGUCAGCUCGUGUCGUGAGAUGUUGGGUUAAGUCCCGCAACGAGCGCAACCCUUGUUCACUGUUGCCAGCACGUUAUGGUGGGGACUCAGUGGAGACCGCCGGGGUCAACUCGGGGGAAGGUGGGGAUGACGUCAAGUCAUCAUGCCCCUUAUGUCCAGGGCUUCACGCAUGCUACAAUGGCUGGUACAGAGAGUGGCGAGCCUGUGAGGGUGAGCGAAUCUCGGAAAGCCGGUCUCAGUUCGGAUUGGGGUCUGCAACUCGACCUCAUGAAGUCGGAGUCGCUAGUAAUCGCAGAUCAGCAACGCUGCGGUGAAUACGUUCCCGGGGCU
rnacentral:rRNA from 1 species